CAGAAGCCACGAAGCAAUACAUGGAAAGUGAAAAAAUAAAAUCAUUAUGUUUUGGUUCUUAUUUCAUUCAUAUUGGCUCAAAACAAAAACAAAAAUUUUAUAUUUUUUAUUUGUACUAUUUUUAGGUAUGAAAAUUCUGUUGUCAUGGAAACCAUCAAUUUGGUAACAAAAUUAUGAAAAUGCAGCCAUUUUUAAACCAAAAUAUUUCAAAAUACAUACAUUUUUAGAUAAAUCUGUAUCUUUUCAUAAAUAGUAUAAGAAUACACCAUUUCAGAUUUAUCUUACUAAUUAUUUUAAAAAGCACCAAAUUGCUAACCAUGGCAACAUGAAAAUAGCAUAUUUUGCAAUUUUUUCGGAUUUGGCUAAGUUAGCAAUUUUUAAAGAGCUCUAAAAUCUAUCUACAACCACAUCCAGCCUACUGAGUGACAUGUCUCAAUUCAUAUUGGAC
rnacentral:lncRNA from 1 species